rnacentral:lncRNA from 1 species
UUUUUGUUUAGUUGGUGAACCAUAGCUUAUGAUUUUGGUAUCAAACGAAACCUCUGAUCUUUUCCUACAAUUCCCCACUCCCAAAACCGGCCAACAACCAACGUAUUUCGUGAAUUCAAGAAAAGAAGAAGCUAGGGCUCAUAACUUGUUAGUGUGAUAUUUCUCUCAAUUCUUAAUCAAAUCAGAUCCAUAAAGAUAUUCAAUUGUCAAGCUGGAUGGAUGUAGGCGACGUUAAUGCGGGGACAUUGAAUAAGUCAAAUCUUUAGGGAAAGAAGUUUUCAUUCGUUUAUAACAUGUGUUAGUGGUUCAUGCUGUAACACAAUACCAUGAUGUAACCUGACAUGUGUUCAUGUAUAACAUGUGUUAAGCCCCUGUUAGAAUGAUAUAUAACGUGGGAAAGAACUCUUCGUUCGUUUAUAACAUGUUUGCUUAACAUGUGAUAAGGUUGAAAACAGUUGACGGAGGCGAUGGGUUUAAUGGUGAGUUUAGUUAAUAUCGUAAUGUUGUAACCCCACUUGUAUACAUAUGAUAACAUGUGU